UCCAGAGGUCCCAAUCGUUGUUCGGAAUCACUGGGCGUAAAGGGUGCGUAGGAGGCCGGGAAAGUCUGAUGUGAAAUCCCACCGCUUAACGGUGGAACUGCAUUGGAAACUGCCCGGCUCGAGGACCGGAGAGGAAAGCGGAAUUCCUGGUGUAGCGGUGAAAUGCGUAGAUAUCAGGAGGAACAUCAACGGCGAAGGCAGCUUUCUGGAAGGUUCCUGACUCUGAGGCACGAAGGCCAGGGGAGAAAACGGG
rnacentral:rRNA from 1 species